GUACUGCUGAGGAGUCCCACAAUAGGACGAAACGACCGCUCAGUAA
rnacentral:hammerhead_ribozyme from 1 species